AAGGAGACCUAGUACAUAGCAAGUGCCAAAUAAACAUUGAGUGGCAAAAAAGAGGGAAAGCAAUGUAAGUCAUCCUAAGAGAGCACACAGAGCAGGAGGGGUAGAAACCAGCCCCGGGGAGGGCAAGGUCCCCACUGGCGAGGUUGCAGACGGGGUGAACAGGGAUGGCAGGACACGGGAAAGCGCAGGCCCCGGGAAGGGGGACGCCAGGGCCCUAUGGCUGCAGGCAAACCUUGGGCCUGGCUUGGGAGUGGAAGUUCCGGCAGCAUCUUGCUCGGCCCUCUUUGCACAUUUGCCCCGUGUGAUUCCUGCGGGCCAGGGUGGGCGCGGCACUCCCUGCACCCGACACAAGCGUUCUCUCGGCAGGCAUGGGCAAGAAGGACGACCCCAAGCUGAUGCAGGAGUGGUUCAAGCUAGUGCAGGAGAAGAACGCCAUGGUGCGCUACGAGUCGGAGCUGAUGAUCUUUGCCCGGGAGCUGGAGCUGGAAGACCGGCAGAGUCGACUGCAGCAGGAGCUCCGGGAACGCAUGGCAGUGGAAGAUCACCUUAAGACUGAGGAGGAGCUGUCAGAAGAGAAGCAGAUUCUCAAUGAGAUGCUGGAGGUGGUGGAGCAGAGAGACUCACUGGUGGCGCUGCUGGAGGAGCAGCGGCUCCGGGAGAGAGAGGAGGACAAGGACCUGGAGGCUGCCAUGUUGUCCAAGGGCUUCAGCCUUAACUGGUCCUGAGCUCCCACCCAACGCUCCAUUUUCUGUUGGCAUCCGCCUGGCCAGGCAGUGGCAUCCAAACCACCCGGAGCCUCGAUCUGAGGAGGCCUGGCACCUCCUUGGAGUUUAUGCUCAGAUGCCCGUGUGCUGCUUGGAAAGUGGUCGAGUCCCGCGUGCAGUGGGGAGCCCCAGGUGACAGUGGUUAUCUGAGAC
rnacentral:sRNA from 1 species